AGUGAACGCUGGCGGUAGGCCUAACACAUGCCAGUCGAACGGCAGCACAGUAAGAGCUUGCUCUUACGGGUGGCGAGUGGCGGACGGGUGAGGAAUACAUCGGAAUCUACUUUUUCGUGGGGGAUAACGUAGGGAAACUUACGCUAAUACCGCAUACGACCUACGGGUGAAAGCAGGGGAUCUUCGGACCUUGCGCGAUUGAAUGAGCCGAUGUCGGAUUAGCUAGUUGGCGGGGUAAAGGCCCACCAAGGCGACGAUCCGUAGCUGGUCUGAGAGGAUGAUCAGCCACACUGGAACUGAGACACGGUCCAGACUCCUACGGGAGGCAGCAGUGGGGAAUAUUGGACAAUGGGCGCAAGCCUGAUCCAGCCAUACCGCGUGGGUGAAGAAGGCCUUCGGGUUGUAGAGCCCUUUUGUUGGGAAAGAAAAGCAGCAGGUUAAUACCGCGCUGUUCUGACGGUACCCAAAGAAUAAGCACCGGCUAACUUCGUG
rnacentral:rRNA from 1 species